GGAGAAGAAGGAGAUUCAGGAGGAAAAAGAAAGAAAGGGAGUUAGAAAGCAGAAGAGUAUCGGGAAAGGAGAAGAAAGGGGGAAACAGAGACAACAAGAGAGAUAGAAUACUUGUUGUAUUAUUCAUUGGAUGAUCUAUCAAUAUUACACAGCUAUUACUAUUUAUACAACUGCUAUUACUAUUUAUACAACUAAUUUCCCAGAUUCUUAUUUGAUAUUAGUUACAAUAUGUAACAACUUAAUCAGCUCAGCUCACUAACUGCUCCCAAUUCUUGGUCAUAACACAUGCUUAUCUUGCAUAAAUGCCUAAUAAUCAGUAUCUCCAAAUGUUGUCAGUCUACAAAUCAUUUACCAAGAAAAUAUCUCAAAAAUGUUCCAUCCAAAACUUAUUGAAUAAACAAUGAAAAAAAUCCAAGUAUAGUCCAUGCUUAGACCAUCCUCAAAAUCUGGUUUUCAGUUACAGCAUAGUAGCAUAGAUUAGACCUCAAAGACAUUCCUACCAAGCAGCAACAGUUACAUGCUCUGAUAUUUAUAUAAAUAAACACACCAAAGAGCUAAGAUAAAGCUAGUGCACUAACAGGUGCACU
rnacentral:misc_RNA from 1 species